rnacentral:rRNA from 1 species
UACGAAGGGGGCUAGCGUUGCUCGGAAUCACUGGGCGUAAAGGGUGCGUAGGCGGGUUUUUAAGUCAGAGGUGAAAUCCUGGAGCUCAACUCCAGAACUGCCUUUGAUACUGAAAGUCUUGAGUAUGGGAGAGGUGAGUGGAACUGCGAGUGUAGAGGUGAAAUUCGUAGAUAUUCGCAAGAACACCAGUGGCGAAGGCGACUCACUGGCCCAUUACUGACGCUGAGGCGCGAAAGCGUGGGGAGCAAACAGG